rnacentral:rRNA from 1 species
UACGUAGGGGGCUAGCGUUGUCCGGAAUCAUUGGGCGUAAAGAGCGUGUAGGCGGUCCGGUAAGUCCGCUGUGAAAGUCGGGGGCUCAACCCUCGAAUGCCGGUGGAUACUGUCGGGCUAGAGUGCGGAAGAGGCGAGUGGAAUUCCUGGUGUAGCGGUGAAAUGCGCAGAUAUCGGAAGGAACACCAGUGGCGAAAGCGGCUUCCUGGUCCAGCACCGACGUCAGGCACGAAAGCGUGGGGAGCAAACGGG